rnacentral:sRNA from 1 species
UGACCGUGUUGUCUCGUUCUCCUUCUGCUGGCUGCUGCUGACCUUGAGGUCGGCGAAGUCGGUGAUCAUGGCCGGCCUGGUGAUCCGGUGCACCGAGAAGUGCUUCUCCCCGGUGAGCAUCCUGACGACGGUGCUCAUGUUGGGGCGGCGCGCCAUUGCGUCCUGUGUGCAUAGCAGGCCAAUCUUCAGGAACCGGCAUGCCUCGUCGACGUCCAGGUCAUUCCCCAGGUCAGCAUCGAUGAUCUCAGCCAGGCGUUCUUGCUCGUAGCGUACCCAUGUCUGCA